rnacentral:misc_RNA from 1 species
GAUACAGUGGAGCAAUGUAAAGCUCUCUUCCUAUCAAAUUCCUAAGGUUAUGGGCUAUUUUUGUGUUCAAUUGUAUUCCGUUCGUAUUUUAAACAUUUGAGAAUAAAGUAUCAAGUAGAAUGCCUGCUUGUGUAAUUUUUAUGAUCUAUUCAAACUUGAUGAAGAGAUGAAGACAUCCAUGUAAUUUUUGAACCCUAAUUCUUAUUAUAGGGGUUGAAGUCAUGUCAAUACGGAACUUCGCAUUCAAGUGAUUUGAAAUUUUACUUGGACCAUUAAACGCUCUCGUUUUGCUAUUUCAUUUCGUGUUACCUUCAGCCUUCAGGCUGUGGACCAAGGAGGGCUCGACAGAAAUUUGGUGGUGCCCCCCAAUACGCCCCUGUCCAAGGAGCAAGGAAUUAUCAUUAAGGGUAUGGUAUCGUCAAAUAAUUUUAUUUUUUUCUCGUGCAAAAAUUAUUUUCCGUUCCAAUUUCAGGUAACAAAAACCGAGCAUCGUUGCAUAUUUUAUUGCGCGCUUUUCGUCAAAUCUUGUAAUCGAUGAACAAUACUCUUUCCGUUUGUAUCCAUUUUUCUUUUCUAACAUAGGGCAAUCAACUUAAUUCUCAUCUCCUGUUUGUCCCCAUCGACCUAGGAUGUACUUAUUACAAUGAAGUCCUACAAUAUGGUCAGCAUCAUCUACCACACAAAUUCAUAAUAUAAUGUUUUUCAGGUUCAUAAGGUGAGUCUAUCUCACAUGUAAAGCAUAUCAGGAGUUGGAAGAAAGAGAAAUUGAAAAUAAAAUAUUGUUAGAAAACAGUAAGAUUCUCGGGUUCCAGUUCUUUCCAGUAUCUUCUCACUAAUGAGAGUCCACAACACUACUAGAACGCAAAAAUAGAACAGAAAUGCCAUUUUUCUCAUACAAGGUCCCAGAAAAUUUUUUUAGACAAAAAGAUUCGAAUGAUGAUGAGCUUGGUAUUGUCUCUUCUUUCAGUAUAUUCUGUACAAUUAUGCCAAUGGAACAUGUAAUUGCGCUAUACAUUUUCUAUUAUUAUUUGGUUUCCUUUUUUCCUUGGUUUUCUUCUUUGUAUAACGGAUUUAGGCAGGUUUCAAAUUGCUAAUGUUCCUUCGGUGACUUGGUUUUCAUCUGAAGAGUCGGAAAGCUGAGUUUUGGGUUUAUUCAUCAUACGAGAAAACCCAUAACCAAGAGAACUUCCGCUAGCUUGGCAUAGCUCAGUAAGCUCCGACAAGUGGCGUGACCUAAACUCAUUUAUAGUUGAUGUGAUCUCUGACAUGGGCAGUUUAGCCUGUGCAAGAACAGCAGCUGCCAACUGUAGACUUGGUUCUAGUGACUCAGGGACAACCUGUAAAUAUUUAGUUUCAACAUAUCACAAAAUUGCCAAGUAACUUGAUGCAUUAGAUAAAUGAAGGAUAAAAUAAAACCUGAAAAACUUAUUCCAAUUUGGAAAUCAUUUUUGGAGUUUGGAGACUUUGGACUCGCAAAUUUCACAUUAAUAAUGCCAUAUUGUUAUAGUAUCAUUAUGGAACAGCCGUUCCCUAACCCUGGCAAAGCAGAUAGCCUCGUGCACUGGAGAUGUCCUUUAAUGCAAUAAUGACAGCUCGGUACAACAGAAUCCCUCAUAAAAGAAACAAAACUUCAUAAAAGAGUUAUUAGAAUAUUACCGCUGUAGCCCCCGCCUUUUCCAAAUUAAGGCCAUGAUCAACAUCAUGAGCACGGACAAAUGUCUUUACAUUGGGAAAAUACUUGCUCAGCGCCCAAACAGUUCUAUAAUUUGCACCAGGUGUAUCCAAAGUUAUUGCCGCAGCACAAGCUCUUUCAGCACCAACUUUAUGGAGGACCUCUCGACUACCAGCAUCUCCAAAAUACACAGGAAGGUCAAGGGCACGCCCAACUGCCACUCUAUCACUCCUCACAUCAAGAGCAACAAAGGGAAUUAACCGCUCUGAAAGAAGUUGUGCAAUAAUCUGGCCAACACGUCCAAACCCACAGAUAAUAAUGUGAUCCUGCAAAUCAUCUGUCUCACUCUCAACCGGUAAAAGACUUCGAACAUCAUGCUGCUCAAAACGUGAGGCAAUUAACUGACCACCAGCAGCUAGCCAUGGUGUAAUAGCCAUUGAAAGUCCCACCACAAGAAAUAACAAAGAUGAUAGCUGGGGAGACAUUAUACCCUGAUUAACAGCUUCACCAAAAGCCACAAAUGCAAACUCUCCACCCGGCGCAAGAAGAAGACCAACCCUUAUUGCAGAUAUGAUUGAAAUACCAAAAAGUCUACCAACCAAAGCAACUAACAAAGUCUUGCCACCAAUUAAGAGUCCCAAUGUCCCCAUAAUGACCGGAAAAUUUGAAACAAGAAGCUUUGGAUCAAUGGACAUUCCAACCGUCAUGAAGAAGAGACCCAAUAGAAGGCCACGAUAUGGAGCAAUAUCCGAUUCAACCUGCAAGGAAAAUUCAGUUUCUGCAAGGAGCAAACCAGCCAGAAAUGCUCCCAGGGCCAUGGAAAGUCCAGCCCUGGCUGUAAGGAGACUAGUCCCCAGAAUAACAAGAAGUGUAUUCGCUGAGAAUAUCUCUGCAUUUUGAUUUUCUGCAAUUUGUUUAUAAAUUGGCCGAAGCAGCAAGCGUCCACCAGCAAUUAUAGCAGUAAUGGCAAGCGCUGCCUUAACAGCAGCCAGCCCAAGAGCUUCAGCAAUGGCUUGAAAACCAACCCCGCCUUUGGACGAAUUAGGUGAAAUAAGAGGUAUGAGUAUUAGCAACACCACAACAGCCAAAUCCUGGAAUAGUAAGACAGAGAAUGUAGCACGCCCAUGGCGCGAUGUGCUCUCACCUCGCUCCUGUAACACCUGCAGGACAACAGCAGUGGAAGACAAAGCAAGCCCAUUCCCGAUGACUAUGGCAGCAGGACCAGGCAGCCGAGAUACAUAAUGAGAGGCCAAGCCAACAACCACCGCUGUCACCAAGACCUGAGCAGAACCUAAUCCAAAAACAUAUUUCUUCAUGGAACUAAGCCUUUCAACAGAAAGCUCCAGGCCAAUAUUAAAUAACAAGAAAACAACUCCAAAUUCAGCAAUUGCCUUUGUACCAUGCACAUGACGAAUAAUAGAGAGACCAUAAGGGCCAAUCAAGAUGCCAGCAGCCAAGUAUCCGAGAACAGGACUACCUCCAGGAAUCUUCUGAAACAUGGGCACAAAUAUAACACUAGCAAGCAGUAACCACAGCACAUCAAAGAGAGACGCCUCUUCCUCAUUCAUCUCUUGAUGAGGAAGCAUUGCAAGUAGCUUUUUUAUUCUCUUUGGAAAUUUCUGUAUGUGUCGAAUUAGAGGCUUGGCAUUUGAGGAAACUUCUUCAAUACUAGUGGUGACAAUGUCCGUUUGUUGAAGCAUCUGUGUGCUCCUUUCUACACGAUUUGAGUAAAACGCAACCCCUGCACCAAACAAUAAUAAUCCAAGAACCAGCUUAGGCAAUUGAUUCCUUGCUGACUCGAUGAGACCUUGGAAAACUGAUGCUGGUGUGAACUCAGUCCCAUCUACAAUGAAAGAGAAGAAAGAUGCAGAAAAGAACCGUGAAGAUUUCUUCAAAAAUGCCUUUGGAGUGUUAAGAGGUGAAGGUGAAAUCUCUCUGGUUAAAUCCUUCUGCAUUUCCGGCUUUUUUGUUUGAACUCCACUCUUUGACUUUUCUGCUUCUAUUUCAGUUUCCCUAGGCAAUUCUAAAUGGAGUUUUCCAUUCUCUUGUUCACUAGAAUCAUCAGAUUGAUAUAACUCUUUAACGUUGCUGGCUUUAUCAGAUAGUCUAUCUACUGUUGGCUCACCAACUAAAGCAUCACCAUCGAUGGGCACAUCGCUUUCUUUUUCAUCAUCAGAAACCCUUCUUUCACUCACCUUCUCCUCCUCAACAACAGCCUCAUCACCAGAUACAUGCCCUUGGGUUGUUUCCAGGGUAUCAACGAAAGAACUAGAGAGAAACUUCUCUGCCCUCUGUAAUGCAAUCUCUGCAUCAUUCACCCGUUGAGCAGCCUCAAGUUCAAAAGCAACAGCUUGCUCAGCCAAAAGCAUUACAUUUGCAACAUCCUCUUCCACUUUCAAAGCAUUCAUCUGAGCUUUCUCAGCAAUCUCAUUCAAUCUGUCCACUUCCUUCUGCAAUUCUUCCUUUCUAUGUUGUAAAUUCCUUAACUCUGCCUCACAACUUGCCAAAUUCAUUUGACAUUCACUAAUAUCAUUUGGAGCAGCCAAAAGUGCAUUGCCCUCUUCCCCAACAUCCUUUUCCACUUCACCCUCUCCAGAACCAGCUGGUGCAUCAGCCUCUCCUUUUGCAAACUCAAUCGAUUCUACUGCCACCUUAAGCCUGGCCUCAGCCAGAGAAAGGGCCAUUGUUGCAUUUUGAACAGCUUCUUUGGCAACAGCCUCCUCAUUAACAAUCCCUUGAAUCAAAUCAAGAGUUGAGUUGACAUCAUUCCAAGCAUUCGCUGCCUCAUCCUUCAAGGCUAUUGCAGCUUCUGAAAUUCUUUGAGCCUUUUCCUCAAACAUUGUACUAUUAAGCCGUGCAACUUCCAAUUCUGUCAUUGCCUUCUGUAACAAUUCCCUCAAUUCAUCCAAACUAGGCGCCUCUGCCUCCACUUCUUCUUUCUGCUCUCCUCCUUUGUCUCCCAAACCACUCAACUCCCCACCAUCAUCAGACCCCACUAUUGAGCUCUCAGCACUACUCUCAACUAAUUCUACACUUCGAUCAUUCCCAUCAAUGUAUGCUAAGGAAUCAUUACCUUGACACCGUGACCUAAAUCCCCUUGACACCUUAAAAACAUCAGCAAAACUACAGAACAAUGAGUUACUCGGAUAUGCACUUGAUAAAUGACUAUGAAAUACUCCGCUGAAUACCAAACUCGAAUUCAAACCACCGCUAUGUGCAAAACUUUUCCUUAUUUUCUUUGAGGACCUAUCUUUUAAAAUAAUACUCGGAUCAAGAACGUUACAACGAAAACUUCCAUAUCUCAACCUCGAAUGUAACCGAUUUGAUAACCUAUAACCUAUGCCUUCACUGCGGUGAAAGACAUUAGGUUGCCGGAUACCACAAGCGAAAUCCAUACCUAUGAGACAAUCAAUGCAAAGGAGUAUCUAUAGAAACACAGGAGCAAACAAUCCACACACACUCAUCGGCAUUUAAUCAAACACCGAUCAAGAGGAGCAAAGUUAGAGAUAAAGCUCAGAGCAAAAUCAAUGGCGGAGUUUAAGAAGAGAGUAAGGGCAGAAAUGACGCAACUGAUAACAAAUCAAUGAUCAGCGUACGCCUUUUAUAAUAUUUGUUCUGUUUUAAUAUUGAAAUGAAACAGAGAGGCAAGCGCCCAAGUGGAAUAAAGAAGAGACAGCAAUGAUAUAAAUCUAUAUUUCGUUUCCUUUUCUCUCACUCUGUUUGGAAAGUGAG